rnacentral:misc_RNA from 1 species
GAGUAUUUGAAUUUGAACCUACCUGUGUGGGUUCAAACAAAAAUCUGACUUUGUGGUAACAAUGAAAAAAAAAAUAGGAUUGGGUUUAAAGAUGAUGCUUUUAAAGAAAUUUAGAGGUAUCGACCCAAGCUGCUUUUAUUCAACUCUCUUAUUAUUUGACUGAAUUUUAUCAAGUAAUCCAAUUUUUUUGGAUUAAAAAAAGUUUUAAAA